AUUGAACGCUGGCGGCAUGCUUUACACAUGCCAGUCGAACGGCAGCGCGGGCUUCGGCCUGGCGGCGAGUGGCGAACGGGUGAGUAAUGCAUCGGAACGUGCCCAGUAGUGGGGGAUAGCCCGGCGAAAGCCGGAUUAAUACCGCAUACGACCUGAGGGUGGAAGCGGGGGACCGAAAGGCCUCGCGCUAUUGGAGCGGCCGAUGUCGGAUUAGCUAGUUGGUGGGGUAAAGGCUUACCAAGGCGACGAUCCGUAGCUGGUCUGAGAGGACGACCAGCCACACUGGGACUGAGACACGGCCCAGACUCCUACGGGAGGCAGCAGUGGGGAAUUUUGGACAAUGGGGGCAACCCUGAUCCAGCCAUGCCGCGUGCGGGAAGAAGGCCUUCGGGUUGUAAACCGCUUUUGUUCGGGAAGAAAUCCUCUGGGCUAAUACCCCGGGGGGAUGACGGUACCGGAAGAAUAAGCACCGGCUAACUACGUG
rnacentral:rRNA from 1 species